AAUAUAAAUACUGAUAAAAUAAAAGAAUUAAAACAAAAACAAUUUUUAAAUAUAUUUUUUUUUUCAUUAUAUUUGUUUUUUAUUUAUUAUUCUAGUAGUAGUAUAUUAUGGAAUGUAACAAAAAUUUUUAUUUUUUUUUAUCAGUUUGAACAAUAUAAACAAGAAAUUACUUCUUACAUGCACAAGUUAGAACACCAUAUAAAUUAUUUAAUAUAUAAGCAAAAUGAUAUAACAAACUGUGACAAACACAUUUUGUUAAAAUGUUUAUUGGCCCUGCUGAACUCGAGCAAAACUGUAACUGUUGGUAUUCAAAGUGGCAUACAAAGUGGCAUACAGGGCAACAUACAGGACAGCAUACAGGGCGACAUACAGGACAGCAUACAGGACAGCAUACAGAACAACAUACAGGAAAGCAUACAGAGCAACAUACAGAGCAACAUACAGAGCAACAUACAAUUCGAAGAGGAAUACAACUUUUGUAAUUAUUUCAACAACAGUUCCGAAUUCCAAUGUAAUGAAGUAUUUGAUUUGAAUUUUGAAAAGUCGUUUAAAUACGAUGAUACUUUUUUUUUAGGAGUGGCAAAUAAAAAAAUGGUUAAAGAUAAUAAUUGGAAUAAAGAAAUUAGUAACAGCAAAAAUGAUAUAAACAGUUGGAACGAAAAAAGAGAAAAUACUGAUGGGAAGAUAUGGAAUAUAAAUGGAAGAACUGAAGAAUUAAAAACAAGUCAUGGUUAUAUUGAUAAGGGAAACGAUAACACCAACAAGAGUAUGGAAAGGAGUAUGGACAGGAGUAUGCAAAAGAGUAUGGAAAACGCCACACACGAUAAUAAUGAUAAUAAAGAAAGUGACAUAAUGAAGAAACUUGAUUUGAUCAUAAAAAAAAAUAAUGAAUAUAUUGAAAAAAAUUGGCUAAAAGAGUCAACUACCUUUUUUUUAAUAAACCAAACUGUUCACUUAAAAAUAUAUUUUAAAAUAGAUAAAGAAAACAGUUCAUUAUGUUUACUUUUUAAUUUAUUUGAUAAACAAGUUAAAAAUGUACACCUUCGUACGUGUUUCGAUAUAAUAGAGUAUGACAUAGAACUUUACCCCAAAACAAAUAAUUUUGUUUUAGUCGAAAGUGAUCAGGGUAUAUUUUAUAAUUCUAAAGGAUUAACUGGGGGUAAUACCAACAGUAAUGUCGGUAGUAAUGUAGGUAGUAAAGGAGAUAGUAAAGGAGAUAGUAAAGGAGAUAGUAACGACGACAGUAAUGACGACAAUAACGACGACAGUAAUGACGACAAUAACGACGACAGUAAUGACGACAGUAACGACGACAGUAACAGCGACAGUAUUGGUUACGCUUCUGAUAGUUCUAAAAAAAUGAAUAAUAAUAUACCCAAAGACAACUAUAAUAAAAAAAAAAAAAACAGAUUAAUAAGUUUUACUAAUUUACAAAACAAUACAAGGAAUAUAUUUAUUACUAUAAAAUUUAAAAACAACACACCCUUUAUUCAUUUAAAAUAUAAUUAUAUUUGUUACUCAAAAAAAUAUAAAAAUAAAAAGUUAAUAAUUCCGUAUGUGUUUACUGACCCAUGUCCAUUGUCGAUAAGCGAGUUUAAAAACGUAAACAAAAAGAAAACAUCCUGGAUUAACAGAACUUAUGAUACAGAAGUAGAAAAUAACGUGAACAUAACAAAGUUGUUGUUUAUUUAUUUUAUGUUUUUAUCGAAAUAUUUAGGAAUGUGUUUUUUUAAUAUGAAAAAUAUUUUUUUAAAUUUACAACAAAAUAAACACUUAAAUGAAUUUCGUGCCAUUUUUAGUUUCAAAAGUUGUACACAUGAACAACCUGUACAGUUUGUAAAAGAUACAAUAGUGUUACUGAUAAACGUUCAACAUACAAAAAAGGAAGAAGCAAACCAAAAUUGUAACUACUCACUUUACACGUUUAAUACAAAAAUCAAAAUAGUGAAUAAUUCAAACGAACAAGUUGGCACUAAAUUAUUGGAAUAUUUCGAAUUUUAUUUAAUUCAACUUUUAAAAAAAAAAAUUAAAAUAAAUUCUGACGUUAUUAAUUAUGCUAUUCUUAACCAGUAGAUCUUAACCAGUAGAUCUUAUCCAAUAGAUAAUUUCGAAUGUAUCAUAAACAAAAACAAAAUAUGGGCAAAAAAAAAAAAGGAAAAAAAGGGAGAGUAUAUUUAUUUACCCACAGCUUGCAUUUAUCUUAUAAUUACUUAUCUUAUAAUUACUUAUCUUAUACUUACUUACCUUAUAUUUAUCUCACUUUUUUUUUUUUUUUUUUUUUUUUUUUUCCGUUUAAAUCUUUUACAUAGUGUAUGACAAGCAAUUUCUAUUUAUACAUAUAAUAUUCACUUUUAUAAAUUAAAAAUGAGAGAAUAAAUUUUUAUAAUUUUUUUUUUUUUUUUUUUUU
rnacentral:lncRNA from 1 species